AUUGAACGCUGGCGGCAUGCCUUACACAUGCAAGUCGAACGGUAACGCGGGGCAACCUGGCGACGAGUGGCGAACGGGUGAGUAAUGCAUCGGAACGUGCCCAGUAGUGGGGGAUAGCCCGGCGAAAGCCGGAUUAAUACCGCAUACGACCUACGGGUGAAAGGGGGGGAUCGCAAGACCUCUCGCUAUUGGAGCGGCCGAUGUCAGAUUAGGUAGUUGGUGGGGUAAAGGCCUACCAAGCCGACGAUCUGUAGCUGGUCUGAGAGGACGGCCAGCCACAGUGGGACUUAGACACGGCCCAGACUCCUACGGGAGGCAGCAGUGGGGAAGUUUGGACAAUGGGCGCAAGCCUGAGCCAGCCAUGCCGCGUGCGGGAAGAAGGCCUUCGGGUUGUAAACCGCUUUUGUCAGGGAAGAAAUCUCCUGGGUUAAUACCUCGGGAGGAUGACGGUACCUGAAGAAUAAGCACCGGCUAACUACGUGCCAGCCGCCGCAGUAACAC
rnacentral:rRNA from 1 species